rnacentral:rRNA from 1 species
CCUACGGGUGGCAGCAGUGGGGGAUAUUGCACAAUGGGGGAAACCCUGAUGCAGCGACGCCGCGUGAGUGAAGACGUAUUUCGGUAUGGAAAGCUCUAUCAGCAGGGAAGUAAAUGACAGUACCUGACCAAGAAGCCCCGGCUAACUACGUGCCAGCAGCCGCGGUACUACGUAGGGGGCAAGCGUUAUCCGGAUUUACUGGGCGUAAAGGGAGCGUAUACGGUUUUGUAAGGCUGGAGUGAAAGGCCGGGGGCCAAACCCUGGAUUGCAUUUGAGACUGUGUAACUGGAGUACAGGUGGGGCAGGCGGAAUUCGUGGUGUAGCGGUGAAAUGCGUAGAUAUCAGGAGGAACACCGAUGGCGAAGGCAGCCUGCUGGACUGAAACUGACAUUGAUGCUCGAAAGCGUGGGGAGCAAACAGGAUUAGAUACCCUAGUAGUC